AAAAAAGCUUGAUUUGACAUUCUCACUUCCAGAGACCGCUGCAGUUCCUCCCUCCAUCUGGUAUUCCUGUAAUUUCUACAGAGCUGUUGGAGAGUGAAGCAGCACAGAGCUGACCAUUUAAAGACUCCUCCUGACCAGACCACACCUCUGUCCUUGAGU